UGGGGAAUAUUGCGCAAUGGGGGGAACCCUGACGCAGCCAUGCCGCGUGAAUGAAGAAGGCCUUCGGGUUGUAAAGUUCUUUCGGUAUUGAGGAAGGUUGAUGUGUUAAUAGCACAUCAAAUUGACGUUAAAUACAGAAGAAGCACCGGCUAACUCCGUGCCAGCAGCCGCGGUAAUACGGAGGGUGCGAGCGUUAAUCGGAAUAACUGGGCGUAAAGGGCACGCAGGCGGUUAUUUAAGUGAGGUGUGAAAGCCCUGGGCUUAACCUAGGAAUUGCAUUUCAGACUGGGUAACUAGAGUACUUUAGGGAGGGGUAGAAUUCCACGUGUAGCGGUGAAAUGCGUAGAGAUGUGGAGGAAUACCGAAGGCGAAGGCAGCCCCUUGGGAAUGUACUGACGCUCAUGUGCGAAAGCGUGGGGAGCAAACAGGACUAGAUACCCUGGUAGUCCACGCUGUAAACGCUGUCGAUUUGGGGGUUGGGGUUUAACUCUGGCGCCCGUAGCUAACGUGAUAAAUCGACCGCCUGGGGAGUACGGCCGCAAGGUUA
rnacentral:rRNA from 1 species